AACUUGUCUGGGCCGGUUUGGGC
rnacentral:piRNA from 1 species